rnacentral:tRNA from 1 species
GACAGUUUGGCCGAGUGGUCUCCGAGUGGUCUAAGGCGCCAGAUUUAGGCUCUGGUCCGAAAGGGCGUGGGUUCAAAUCCCACAGCUGUCA